rnacentral:lncRNA from 1 species
AGACCCUGGGUUUCAUAAGCAAGGGGAGAGACCUUUUCUUGCUUGGGAAUCAUCCAAGGAAAAAUUGGUAGGCUAUGGAAGCUUGCAGGAAAGCAAAGAAGUAGGUGAUGAUGCUCUUUUGACUGCACUUCCCAGCCAAGGUAAUAUCAUAUUUCUUGGAAUAUGAUACUGAGGAACUUGCAAAUGAGGAAUUAUCUGAUGGAUUUACAAUCUGGAAACAUUUUACCCCCCAAAUCCUGUUUUGCCAAAAACAAGUCGUUAAAAGGAAAUGUCUUCCUUUUUUUAUAUCAUUUUUCUUUCUUUUUUAUAUCAUUUUUCUUUUAUUUCCAGGCAGAUUCUCCUGUGAGUCGGUGGAUUUGGUUUCUCCAGAGCUCAGCCACCUGCACCAGUCAGUGAUGGGGACUUCUCAAAGAAAUGGUUCCAAAUUGUCCUGGUGCUGAGUUAGCAUACUCCAAGAGGAACCCACCAGCUAAAGAGGGCUUCAUACUACUGGUCCAGGAGCAGUUUCAGUGUCAAAAUUGCCCCAGGAACAAGAUCGUAGCAAAGUUUAGGACGUUUAAAAUACGUAUGUAUGUAUGGAGAUGUUACAGAUUGAAUUGGGAAUGCUACAGCUUAGAUCAUUUGAUGUAUCUUCCCAUCACAAAUGUAAGGGGUACUAAAGCAUCUGACAAAAAUAUUUUGUCUACAUUCUGGGAACUGUUGACAUUUGUACCUGGACAACUGCUGCCAGAUUUAUACCUUCAAGCAAAUGGCUCUUCUGCACUGCUCUCAACUCCAGAAGGUUGGUCAUCUAUAGCUGAUUGAUAUUCAACAGUCUUCUCA